AGAGGUCGGUGGCUUUCAGAGAUGGAUGCUCUGUUGUGACUAUCUGUAGGCACAAAUCAAAGCUCAUAACAGGAAGUCCUAAAGGAGGCUUCUGCCCCCCUGCCUGCUGAUUGGCCUACUCCAAGAAAACUGAUUUGGUGUACCCCAAUCCCUCUUCAGGUGUUGGAGUGGUGCCUAUAGAUGCCCUUCCCCUUUGGCAGGUGAACCAGGAAUCCGGUGCUGUAAGCAGAGUGUCAAGGACGGCCGCCAAAACAGUUGACAGCAGCAGCAUUUCAAGUGAACGAGUGAGAUGAGCCAUUCCUCGGGAUGAGGCCAGCCGAGGUGGAGGUGGAGGUGGAGG